rnacentral:rRNA from 1 species
UCAAGUGACUAAGUGUAUGUGGUGGAUGCCUUGGCGAUCACAGGCGAUGAAGGACGUGACAGCCUGCGAAAAGCUGUGGGGAGCUGGCAAAUAAGCUUUGAUCCACAGGUCUCCGAAUGAGGGAACUCACCUACUUUAGUAGGUAUUCCAACCUGAAUAUAUAGGGUUGGAAGGCGAACGAAGUGAACUGAAACAUCUAAGUAACUUCAGGAAAAGAAAUCAACCGAGAUUCCGAAAGUAGCGGCGAGCGAAAUCGGAACAGCCUAGCACUCGAUAGCAGCACGAUUAUUGGAACGGUCUGGAAAGUCCGGCCAUAGAGGGUGAUAGCCCCUUACAAGAAAAUCUGGCUGUGGUACUAAGUGUGCGAUAAGUAGAGCGGGACACGUGACAUCCUGUUUGAAGAUGGGGGGACCAUCCUCCAAGGCUAAAUACUCGUGAUCGACCGAUAGCGUACCAGUACUGUGAAGGAAAGGUUAAAAGAACCCCGGGAGGGGAGUGAAAUAGAUCCUGAAACCGCAUACAUACAAACAGUAGGAGCCUCGUAAGGGGUGACUGCGUACCUUUUGCAUAAUGGGUCAGCGACUUACGUUUAAUGGCGAGCUUAACCGUAUAGGGGAGGCGCAGCGAAAGCGAGUUCGAAUAGAGCGAUUUAGUCGUUAGGCGUAGACCCGAAACCAGAUGAUCUAUCCAUGGCCAGGUUGAAGGUGUGGUAACACACACUGGAGGACCGAACCGACUAGUGUUGCAAAAUUAGCGGAUGAGCUGUGGAUAGGGGUGAAAGGCUAAACAAAUCUGGAGAUAGCUGGUUCUCCCCGAAAACUAUUGAGGUAGUGCCUCGUGUAUGACUCCAGGGGGUAGAGCACUGUUAUGGCUAGGGGGACAUGGCGUCUUACCAAACCAUGGCAAACUCCGAAUACUUGGAAGUUUGAGCACGGGAGACAGAGCACCGGGUGCUAACGUCCGGACUCAAGAGGGAAACAACCCAGACCGCCGGCUAAGGUCCCUAAUAUUGACUAAGUGGAAAACGAAGUGGGAAGGCUAAGACAGUCAGGAAGUUGGCUUAGAAGCAGCCAUCCUUCAAAGAAAGCGUAAUAGCUCACUGAUCGAGUCUUCCUGCGCGGAAGAUGUAACGGGGCUAAGUCAAUAACCGAAGCCGCGGAUUCACACGUAUGUGUGAGUGGUAGGGGAGCGUUCUGUAAGCCUGCGAAGGUGACUCGUAAGGGUUGCUGGAGGUAUCAGAAGUGCGAAUGCUGACAUGAGUAACGUUAAAGCGGGUGAAAAGCCCGCUCGCCGAAAGCCCAAGGUUUCCUGCUCUACGUUCAUCGGAGCAGGGUGAGUCGGCCCCUAAGGUGAGGCUGAGAAGCGUAACUGAUGGGAACAAGGUUAAUAUUCCUUGACCGCCGCUGAAUGCGAAGGGGGGACGGAGUAUUGAAGAUCAUCCGGGUGUUGGAUGUCCCGGUUUGUGCGUGUAGGAGGUUGACAGGCAAAUCCGUCAACGGAUCUCCGAGACAAAGCAUCGAGCUCUUUUUUGAGCGAAGUGAUUGGAUGUGCUUCCAGGAAAAGCCUCUAAGCUCCAGUUCAGUGGGACCGUACCGCAAACCGACACUGGUGGGCGAGCUGAAUAUGCUCAGGCGCUUGAGAGAACUCAGGAGAAGGAACUCGGCAAAUUGACACCGUAACUUCGGGAUAAGGUGUGCCUUUGUAGCGUGAAGAGAGAAACACUCCUAGCGUGAAGAGGUCUCAGAUAAUUGGUGGCUGCGACUGUUUACUAAAAACACAGCACUCUGCAAAGACGAAAGUCGACGUAUAGGGUGUGAUGCCUGCCCGGUGCUGGAAGAUUAAUUGAUGGGGUGAAAGCUCCUGAUCGAAGUCCCAGUAAACGGCGGCCGUAACUAUAACGGUCCUAAGGUAGCGAAAUUCCUUGUC